rnacentral:misc_RNA from 1 species
CUCACAUUUAAAAUCUGGAAGCCUGUAUAUCAAAUGUCAUCAAGUAUCAACUGCUUGUUACAAUUUUAUUUAAUUCAACGGGCUCUUGCUUCGCCUCUUCAAUAUUGCUUGCUCUUCGUCUGGUUCGGUUCUUAACCUUAUCAACCCAGCCUACAAUUUUUUGUUCGACAUGCUCUUCAAAUAUAGCCCUCUUGAAGUUACUCCCCAUCUGGG